GAUGAACGCUAGCGGCAGGCCUAACACAUGCAAGUCGAGGGGUAACAUAGAAAAGCUUGCUUUUCUGAUGACGACCGGCGCACGGGUGCGUAACGCGUAUACAACCUACCUUUUAGCGGGGAAUAGCCCAGGGAAACUUGGAUUAAUGCCCCAUAGUAUAUGGACUUCUCCUGAAGUUUAUAUUAAACAUUUAUGGCUAUUAGAUGGGUAUGCGUCCUAUUAGUUAGUUGGUAAGGUAACGGCUUACCAAGGCAGCGAUAGGUAGGGGUCCUGAGGGGGAGAUCCCCACACUGGUACUGAGACACGGACCAGACUCCUACGGGAGGCAGCAGUGAGGAAUAUUGGACAAUGGGCGAGAGCCUGAUCCAGCCAUGCCGCGUGCAGGAAGACUGCCCUAUGGGUUGUAAACUGCUUUUACAGAGGAAGAACCACCCCCACGUGUGGGGGUUUGACGGUACUCUGCGAAUAAGGAUCGGCUAACUCCGUG
rnacentral:rRNA from 1 species